AUUGAACGCUGGCGGCAUGCCUAACACAUGCAAGUCGAACGGUAACAGGCCCUUCGGGGUGCUGACGAGUGGCGGGAUGGGUGAGUAAUACUUAGGAAUCUACCCUGUAGUGGGGGGACAACCCGGGGGAAACUCGGGCUAAUACCGCAUACACUCUACGGAGGAAAGCGGGGGACCGGCAAGGCCUCGCGCUAUUGGAUGAGGCCUAAGCCCGAUUAGCUAGUUGGUGGGGUAAGUAGCCUACCAAGGCAGUGAUCGGUAGCUGUCUGAGAGGACGACCAGCCACACUGGGACUGAGACGCGGCCCAGA
rnacentral:rRNA from 1 species